rnacentral:rRNA from 1 species
UACGUAGGGUGCAAGCGUUAAUCGGAAUUACUUGGGCGUAAAGCGUGCGUAGGCGGGUUCGUUAAGUCUGUUGUGAAAGCCCCGGGCUCAACCUGGGAAUGGCCAAUGGAUACUGGCGAGCUAGAGUGUGUCAGAGGAUGGUGGAAUUCCCGGUGUAGCGGUGAAAUGCGUAGAGAUCGGGAGGAACAUCAGUGGCGAAGGCGGCCAUCGUGGGAACAACACUGACGCUGAGGCACGAAAGCGUGGGGAGCAAACAGGAUUGAGA